GUUCCUUUUUCCCCACAGCUCACCAUUUGCAAUUGGUUGAUUUCUUGUAACAGCCAUUCUUUCUGCGGUGAGAUGGAAUCUCAGCGGUGUUUUAAUUUGCACCUCUUAAAUGACCAAUGAUGUUGAACAUUUUUUUCAUAUAAUUAUUUGCCAUUUCUAUUUCUUCAUCUGAGAGAUAUGUGAAAACAGAAGCACAAGCUGGGUACCAUAGCACACUUGAGGCUGAGGCGGGAGGAUCUGGAGCUCAAGGCCAGCCUGAACUUCCUGAAGACACUGUCUUAAAAGAGAGAGAGAAGAGGGAGAGAAACCCAGAAACAUGUAUUCUCCAUGUGCUAACCCUUUUCAUCUUUAGCACUGUCUCAUGAACAUAUUAUGAUCCUGCUUUAGAUAAGGAGAUCGAGGCACAGUCAGACAGUGACCUCCAAGGUCUAAGGCCACAUAGUUGGUCAAUGUAGUAGUCAUUAGUGAUGUUCUAGCCUAGGCUUUCUCAUUAAACACAUGACAUGGGUGGAGCAGUAACAGGCUUUCCUCACUCUGGUCAGCCACUGAAAUUGAUGUUUCAGGUGCUGUCCACUUCUAAAAGUGCAGUAUUUGGGUUGGGAAUGUACCUGGGUGACAGAGCGCUUACCUUAGGGGAGAACAGGUGCUAAAUUCACAUGAAUGUGCACCAUGGAUAUAUGUGAAUAGAUGCCAAAUCUACUUAUGUUUGUUACAUUUGUGUAUGACUGCUUGGGGGGGUGCUCAAUAAAUUAAAAUAUAUUCAGUAAAGAA